rnacentral:rRNA from 1 species
UACAGAGGGGGCAAGCGUUGUUCGGAAUUACUGGGCGUAAAGGGCGCGUAGGCGGCCUGUUAAGUCGAACGUGAAAUCCCCGGGCUCAACCCGGGAACUGCGUCCGAUACUGGCAGGCUCGAAUCCGGGAGAGGGAUGUGGAAUUCCAGGUGUAGCGGUGAAAUGCGUAGAUAUCUGGAGGAACACCGGUGGCGAAGGCGGCAUCCUGGACCGGUAUUGACGCUGAGGCGCGAAAGCCAGGGGAGCAAACGGG